rnacentral:tRNA from 1 species
AUUUAUAUAGUUUAUUAAAACAUUACAUUUUCAUUGUUAAGUAAGAUUUUAUCUUGUAAAUA